UAAAGGAGAGAUCCGGCAUAGGAUGGACAUGCGUCGCAUUAGGUAGACGGCGGGGUAACGGCCCACCGUGCCGACGAUGCGUAGGGGUUCUGAGAGGAAGGCCCCCCACACUGGUACUGAGACACGGACCAGACUCCUACGGGAGGCAGCAGUGAGGAAUAUUGGUCAAUGGCCGAGAGGCUGAACCAGCCAAGUCGCGUGAGGGAAGAAUGUCCUAAGGAUUGUAAACCUCUUUUGUCGGGGAGCAAAAAGGCUCUGCGGAGUCGUAUUGAGAGUACCCGAAGAAAAAGCAUCGGCUAACUCCGUGCCAGCAGCCGCGGUAAUACGGAGGAUGCGAGCGUUAUCCGGAUUUAUUGGGUUUAAAGGGUGCGCAGGCGGCGUGUCAAGCAAGCGGUAAAAUAGCGGGGCUCAACCCCGUCGAGCCGUUUGAACUGGCGCGCUUGAGUUCAGGCGAGGUAGGCGGAAUUCGUGGUGUAGCGGUGAAAUGCAUAGAUAUCACGAAGAACUCCGAUUGCGAAGGCAGCUUACCAGUCUGCGACUGACGCUCAGGCACGAAAGUGUGGGUAUCGAACAGGAUUAGAUACCCUGGUAGUCCACACAGUAAACGAUGAGCGGUAGGUGUCCGGGUCGCAUGAGACUUGG
rnacentral:rRNA from 1 species